UUGUUAUAACUUCCAAAAAAAAUCCAAUAGGCUGUUUACACUAGGGCUGCGUUAUGCGUCUUUGCCUCUUGCCGGAGACGCAGUUUUGUUUUACACAGGAUAAGCAUAAGGGCCUAGUGUGCCUAUUUGAAAUAUUUGGCAUCUGAAGCCACUAUCACCACUAAUAAAAAAUAACAGCAAGAAAGCAAAUCAAAUUUUUUGCGUAGAAGGGUAAAGUCUUUUCAGAUAAUAAAGUCAGUUACAGAAAGAAGAAGCUAUGGCAAAACAAAUGGCAGAGAAAUGGGCCAACGUUGAUCAGAAACUCCAGGAAAACUCAAAAGCAGUUGAGCGUCUGAAUGAAGAGAUCAGACAAUCGGAAAAUCGUCUGGGCGUAAGGAUAAAGCAAAUGGAAAGCCGACUCGAAACCCGUCUUGAAGAUCGUCUCUCAAUGGGACACACAACGUACAACGUUAUGGAGAGUCUCUUCAAGACUCAAGUUCGCGACAGACAAGGAGCGACUCUCACACCUGGCUUACAAUGAUGCACCAGCCGACGUUCUGGAAAGAUACAAGAUCAAUGGAUAGAUAGAUAGAUAGAUAGACGGUGUCAAGGAUAUGCACUCCACCCGCGCUAUGGUUCUGAUGCAGAGAAGAACGUUCGAGGAACGGAGUUUGAAAAGUAGCCGAUUUCAGAGCCGAAAACAUUUCAUAAACAAAUUACUUUCAAAAUAUUUGCUUAUUGACACGACGCACGCAGAAUACCCUAAUGACAAUUAUCCUAAUAUAAAGUCAUGUAUGAAAUGCAUUAUUAUGUAUUUUGUACAUAUUGGCAUUUCCGCGGAAAUAUAACGAUAUUUUUUUUAAAUUGAUUGAAAGUUAAUUUAACCAUUUGGCAUAUAAUUUCAUGAACUUGGAUCUGAAAACCUCUUAAGAUAAGCAAAAGCAAACUAAGCUGUUGGUUAAGGAUAUAUGAUGUGAUUUAUGGGAGAAUGUGAGUUACCUAAUUGAAUAAAAGCACUAAUAGAGAUA